rnacentral:rRNA from 1 species
UACGAAGGGGGCUAGCGUUGUUCGGAGUUACUGGGCGUAAAGGGCGCGUAGGCGGCGCACCAAAUCAGGCGUGAAAGCCCUGGGCUCAACCCGGGAAUUGCGCUUGAGACUGGUGUGCUUGAGUACGGGAGAGGAUAGUGGAAUUCCCAGUGUAGAGGUGAAAUUCGUAGAUAUUGGGAAGAACACCGGUGGCGAAGGCGGCUACCUGGCCCAACAUUGACACUGAGACCCGAAAGCGUGGGGAUCAAACAGG